rnacentral:rRNA from 1 species
GACGAACGCUGGCGGCAGGCUUAACACAUGCAAGUCGAGCGCCCCGCAAGGGGAGCGGCAGACGGGUGAGUAACGCGUGGGAAUCUACCCAUCUCUACGGAAUAACGCAUGGAAACGUGUGCUAAUACCGUAUACGUCCUUCGGGAGAAAGAUUUAUCGGAGAUGGAUGAGCCCGCGUUGGAUUAGCUAGUUGGUGGGGUAAGGGCCUACCAAGGCGACGAUCCAUAGCUGGUCUGAGAGGAUGAUCAGCCACACUGGGACUGAGACACGGCCCAGACUCCUACGGGAGGCAGCAGUGGGGAAUAUUGGACAAUGGGCGCAAGCCUGAUCCAGCCAUGCCGCGUGAGUGAUGAAGGCCCUAGGGUUGUAAAGCUCUUUCACCGGUGAAGAUAACGACGGUAACCGGAGAAGAAGCCCCGGCUAACUUCGAGCCAGCCGCCGCGGUAACAC